rnacentral:rRNA from 1 species
CCUGAAACGGUGCUAAUGCCGGAUAGGCAACUGGUAGCAUCACCGGUUGGAAAGUGCAACUGCACCGCAGAUGGAGGAGCCCGCGGCGCAUUAGCUAGUUCGGUGGGGUAACGGCCUACCAAGGCGACGAUGCGUAGCCGACCUGAGAGGGUGGACGGCCACACUGGGACUGAGACACGGCCCAGACUCCUACGGGAGGCAGCAGUGGGAAUCUUCCGCAAUGGGCGCAAGCCUGACGGAGCAACGCCGCGUGAGCGAGAAGGCCUUCGGGUUGUAAAGCUCAGUCACUCGGGAAGAGCGGACGAGGGAGUGGAAAGCCCUCGUCGAGACGGUACCGAGAGAGGAAGCCCCGGCUAACUACGUG